UGUAAUUUUUAUCUAAAAUAUCUCCUUUUUAAAAAAUCUCCUAAAAAUGGUCGAAACCUUUUGUGUUGGAGUGUUGAAAACCCCAAAAAAAGUGUUCACGUUAUAAUUUAAAAUAAAAAUGAAACGGAGUUUUAAAAUUGUGGAGGCCUAACAUAAUAAUGGAUCAACCGAAAAAUGGGUUAACUCUCAUUACAUUGCCACAUUAAUCACGUUCACUCAAAAUUUAUCUUGUUAGGAUAAUUGCAUUUCAAUAAUGUGAACUAGUUAUAAUUUUUCUUUGCAUUUGUGUAAUAUUAAUAUAAUUUUCAUAUUUAUUAAAAUCUGCAUUUUUUUUUUUUUUU
rnacentral:lncRNA from 1 species